AUCAAGUAUCUUUCUCCCUCCUUUGCAGCCCACAGCCCUGGAAGCUGGUUUCCACCACGAGGGGCCACUGUGCCUUUCCCAUUAUUGCCUGAGCUCUGGCACUGCUCCACACCAUGCAGGAGAGGGUCGGCUAAAGAAGGAUGGGCAGAGUGAAAUUUCACCCAAAGCAGUUUUAUUCAGCCGUCCCCACAUUCUCCUAAAACCUCUCCCUGCCUCACUUCUGCUAAGCCCUGUUGGAGAACCAGAGCAGAGAUGACACAAUCCCAGUGGAGCACUUACCGAUGGUUGGCACCAAGAGAACAUCUGGUGUGGGCAGUGGCUGGAGCUCAGCAUCCUAGCAAGGUACUUUCUGGAAGGAAGGAACACCUGAGAUCUCUCAUCCCUGAGAAUAACUCCCUGUGCAUUAGCACCACCAAACUAAUGAGGAAUUCCAGGCCACAUGUGACCUCUGGCUCUGCAAGGAUCAGCCUCACUGGAGCUCCUCCGUGUGACAUGUGAAGCUCCUGUGUCGCAACAGCCCCGCUACCAGCUCCUGGGGCCUGAGCCGUGGCUGCGGUCGCUGCGGUGGAGCUGGAGCCGUGGCAGAGUCUGCAGGAGGACGGGUAGGUCACGUACCACAGCGAGCUGCAGUGGAGCCAGGUGCCACAUGGGAGAAGGUCAAUAAAGCAGAAAACGUAAGUGAUGGAUUGUUUCUG
rnacentral:lncRNA from 1 species